rnacentral:rRNA from 1 species
AACGCGAAGAACCUUACCUGGGCUCGAACGGCUAUUGAUCGGUGGUAGAAAUAUCGCCUUUCCCGCAAGGGACUGUAGUCGAGGUGCUGCAUGGCUGUCGUCAGCUCGUGUCGUGAGAUGUUGGGUUAAGUCCCGCAACGAGCGCAACCCUUGUCCUGUGUUGCUAACCCCUUAAUUGGGAGCACUCUGGACAGACUGCCUCGCUUCAACGAGGAGGAAGGUGGGGAUGACGUCAAGUCAGUAUGGCCCUUACGGCCAGGGCUGCACACGUACUACAAUGCCCGGUACAAAGGGAAGCAAGAGCGUAAGCUGGAGCAAAUCCCCCAAAACGGGCCCAGUUCAGAUUGCCGUCUGCAACUCGACGGCAUGAAGCUGGAAUCGCUAGUAAUGGCGCAUCAGCUACGGCGCCGUGAAUACGUUCCCGGGCCUUGUACACACCGGCUAC